UUAGGAGAGAGAUAGACGACUCUGAUCACUGUUUGAUUUUUGCAUUCAAAUAAAUUAAAAGAGAAAUAUACAAAAUCUAAAAAAAUUAAAAUAGAAAUAUAAUAAUAGCCCCUCAAUGGCUCCUAUGAACCACACCCUAUGCAUGCAUAUCUCAACUAAUACUCCCAACUCCUCCCCCAUGAAUAAUGUAUUAUUAUCUCCAUUUUACAGAAGAAGAAACUGAGGUUCUAAGAAGAUAUUGUAAUUUUACCGAGGACACAGAAUUAAUAACUGGUUAAGUCAUGACUCGAACCCCGUUCUAGUUGGACCCUGGAGUGCGUAUCCUUAAUUAGUGUGCUCCAUUGCUUCCCUUUCUGCAGGUGCUUUCUCAGUUUGUGGAAGCUCCCGAGCUCCUCCUACUCCAUAGCAUCCUAGUGAUGGUGCGUCUCACGGUACCAACCUGAAGAGUCAGUGAGCCAAGGAAGGUUUUUGUCUUCUAAAUACUGAAUGUGUAACCUAGAUGGAAGCCCAGAACAUAGCUUCAAGCUUGUUUCCAUGAAAAGGUCAUUCCAGGAUUCUUGUUGCUUGCCACAUAGCCUCUGUGAUGAAGUACUGUUGUCGUUGCUUCCUGGGAACCACAGGUGGGAGGGCUUUUUGGCAUUCUCUGUCACAGUCUAAGGACUCAGUUUCCCCAAAUUGCAUGCCUUGCUCUUCCAAAUGGAAAAGUCCUCUCUUCACACUCAUUAUCAGAAGAUUUCACACGAGGUGUUCAGAUACCUCUCACUCACACAUAUUCCAAGUGAUGAGACAAGGAACUAUUUGCCAAAGGGAAAAUAUCGUGUGGUUUUCUGUUCUCAUCGCCAAAAAUAAUUUCCAGAGGAGACUGUUUUUAAUUUCUUGUUUUAAUUUCCAUUUGGGCAUGACGAACAGUCUUCAAAAGCUAUGUCAUUGGAGAUUCUAAACCCAAAGGGAGAAGGCUUGCCUGGGCAACCUUAAUAUGAUUCGGAUACCACCCGUAUUUCAUCUUCCAGCUCACUGCCCUUUUUACAUGCAUUUUCUCAUGCUGGCUUCCACACCAACGCUGUGGGCAGACAAAGCCAGCAAUUGCUAUCGCUGUCUGUUGAUGCAUAGGAUCUGAGAUCUGAUUCAGCUACGAUGAAGAGUUAGCUGGUGGUACAGUUGGGACAUAAACCGAAAUCUUUGUACAUGUCGCUUUGGUGUUCACCAUUGCACGUCACAGGCUGCUUCCUUAUCACCCUCCUUAGUUGCUAUUCAUCGUCAGCUGUCUUCAGCUCUUCAUGGGUAUGUGUAUUCUCUGUCCAACUAUUAGGUUGGUGCGAAAGUAAUUGCCAUUUUGCCAUUGAAAUAAAAAUAGACUAAAAUAAAAUUUGAGUCUAAAGACAAUAACUAUGUCUAAUAUACCUGCUGUUCCCACAAAGCCUUAAAUACUCAAUAAAUAUUUGUUGGUUAGGCUUUUAUUGUGCAAAGAAUGAGAGUCAUAAAGGUAUUUUAUUUGUAUACCGUGAAAUCUAUAUCAAACUGAAUAUUUAGAUCCUUCUUUCAUAUAAAGGAAAAACAUAUCAGGACUGAAAUUUUUUCAAAUUUAUUUUAAAUGGAAAAAUGUCAAUUCAGGGCAGACUCAUUUCCUAUUCUAUAUCCAUUGUGGGUUUAGAUUAUAAUUUUGGAUGACAUCGAAAAGACUGGGGUGUUUUGCUGUUUUCCUUUGCUAAAUGACAUGAUUUGGGUACAAGUAAAAUUGUGUUUCUGUGGGUUUGCCUCCAUAUUUACUCGCUGCCUGAGUCCCAUUUUCCAGUGUUUCAUAGUCUGGAGAGGAAGUGUGGUCUAGUGGUCAGAAAAACAGUUUAGAAGGCUAGCAUCAUGGUUUCUAUUCCUGUCUCACUCCCUGACUCAUUGUAAGAUCUUCAGGGAGUUAGUUAAGCAUUUUGAGCCUCAGUUUAUCCAUUUUUUUCCUACCUAGAGAUGUUGCUCAGAAAUAAUCAGAUAAUCAAACAGUGUAAAAUAAAAAAUGAGGUUGGCUAUAAAAAGAAAUAAUGCUACAUACAUACAAAGCUUCAUGUAAUGAGUAGUAGGGGCUACAGAAGGAAAACAGGAUCCUCUAAUUAGUUUGCCAGCUGAAAGGAGUCGUCAAAGGCCCUUCUAGUAAGCACUGAUUCCACUGGUUAUGGGCACUAACUGGGAUAGUACCUGGAAAACAAUGUGUAAUGGGAAGAAAAUCAAGGAACUGGGAAUCUAGGGAAGAGGAGUGUUGGGAAUUGGGGGUCUUUCUCCUGACCUCCAAGGGAAAAUGUAAGUGAGCAGAAACACUCAAAUUUCGCUUGGAGUUCACACUCUUAGGCAUAGCAAUAGACCUUCAUAGAAGAUUCCAUUUGAUCAGGCUACAAAUUCAAGAUCAACUUGAAAUCUUGGCUUCUCUUCACCCAUCACUCUUUCCAUGUUAUCCAUCCUCUAGAAGAAAAGCUACAGUGGAUGUUAUUUCUUGUUGAGUUAAAAAGGGAAGCAUAUGCAAAACAAAAAUUAAAGCCGCUCCAGGGGCUGGGCACGAAUUACAGGUGGCUCACACCUGUAAUCCCAGCACUUUGGGAGGCCAAGGCGGGUGGAUCACUUGAGGUCAGGAGUUCCAGACCAGCCUGGCCAACAUGGCAAAACCCC
rnacentral:lncRNA from 1 species